rnacentral:rRNA from 1 species
AUUGAACGCUGGCGGUAUGCUUAACACAUGCAAGUCGAACGGCAGCACGAGAAAGCUUGCUUUCUUGGUGGCGAGUGGCGGACGGGUGAGUAAUACAUAGGAAUCUACCUCGAAGCGGGGGAUAACCCGGGGAAACUCGGGCUAAUACCGCAUAAUCUCUACGGAGGAAAGCAGGGGAUCUUCGGACCUUGCACUUUGAGAUGAGCCUAUGUCGGAUUAGCUAGUUAGUAGGGUAAAGGCCUACCAAGGCGAUGAUCCGUAGCUGGUCUGAGAGGACGAUCAGCCACACUGGGACUGAGACACGGCCCAGACUCCUACGGGAGGCAGCAGUGGGGAAUAUUGGACAAUGGGCGCAAGCCUGAUCCAGCAAUACCGCGUGUGUGAAGAAGGCCUUCGGGUUGUAAAGCACUUUCAGUAGGGAGGAAAGGCUCAGAGCUAAUAUCUCUGAGAGUUGACGUUACCUACAGAAGAAGCACCGGCUAACUCUGUGCCAGCAGCCGCCGUAAUAC